AUCUCUGUAGAGUCUGCAUAUCAAUAAGCGGAGGAAAAGAAACUAACAAGGAUUCCCUUAGUAACGGCGAGUGAAGCGGGAAGAGCUCAAAUUUGAAAUCUUCAAGGUUCUACCUUGACGAAUUGUAGUUUAUAAGAAGUGUUUUCUGUUAGAUGAGUAGCAAAAGUUCCUUGGAAUAGGGACAUCAUAGAGGGUGAGAAUCCCGUAUUUGGUUAUUCAUUCUAGCUUUGUGAUACACUUUCAAAGAGUCGGAUUGUUUGGGAAUGCAGUCCAAAAUGGGUGGUAAAUUUCAUCUAAAGCUAAAUAUUGGCGAGAGACCGAUAGCGAACAAGUACCGUGAGGGAAAGAUGAAAAGAACUUUGAAAAGAGAGUUAAACAGUACGUGAAAUUGUCAAAAGGGAAGCGUUUGACACCAGUGUUGUUUUUCCGAAAAUCAAUUACGAAUGGCUUGAUUUUGUGUUGUAUUGACCUUAUCAGCUUUCUUCACUUUUUUCGAGUCUUUCUUAAUGCACUUUUCGGUUAACAAGUCAACAUCAAUUUCUUUUGUUGUAAAAGAGUAUUCGGAAGGUGGCUUUCUUUUCGGAGAAAGUGUUUAUAGCCCUAUACUUCUACAAUCGGAGAGAUUGAGGUCUGCAGCGUAGAUCCUUCGGGGUUAGAUACACUUGUGCUAAGUUGUAGCUUUUCAUAGACAACUUGUUGACUAUGUUUAGUCAUGUGGCUUACUCGCUUGUGCUAUUUUACCUACGCUUAGGAUGUUGACUGAUAUGUAGUCGUA
rnacentral:rRNA from 1 species